GAUAUCAGAUUAGCUAGUUGGUGAGGUAAAGGCUCACCAAGGCGACGAUCUGUAGCGGGUCUGAGAGGAUGAUCCGCCACACUGGAACUGAGACACGGUCCAGACUCCUACGGGAGGCAGCAGUGGGGAAUUUUGGACAAUGGGGGCAACCCUGAUCCAGCCAUGCCGCGUGAGUGAAGAAGGCCUUCGGGUUGUAAGGCUCUUUCGGCCGGGAAGAAAUCGUAUGGGUUAAUACCCUGUGCGGAUGACGGUACCGGCAUAAGAAGCACCGGCUAACUACGUGCCAGCAGCCGCGGUAAUACGUAGGGUGCGAGCGUUAAUCGGAAUUACUGGGCGUAAAGCGUGCGCAGACGGUUUUGUAAGACAGGCGUGAAAUCCCCGGGCUCAACCUGGGAACUGCGCUUGUGACUGCAAGGCUAGAGUAUGGCAGAGGGGGGUGGAAUUCCACGUGUAGCAGUGAAAUGCGUAGAGAUGUGGAGGAACACCAAUGGCGAAGGCAGCCCCCUGGGCCAAUACUGACGCUCAUGCACGAAAGCGUGGGUGGCAAACAGGAUUAGAUACCCUGGUAGUCCACGCCCUAAACGAUGUCAACUAGGUGUUGGGUGGGUAAAACCAUUUAGUACCGGAGCUAACGCGUGAAGUUGACCGCCUGGGGAGUACGGCCGCAAGGUUAAAACUCAAAGGAAUUGACGGGGACCCGCACAAGCGGUGGAUGAUGUGGAUUAAUUCGAUGCAACGCGAAAAACCUUACCUACCCUUGACAUGUCCAGGAGCCUGAAGAGAUUUGGGUGUGCCCGAAAGGGAACUGGAACACAGGUGCUGCAUGGCUGUCGUCAGCUCGUGUCGUGAGAUGUUGGGUUAAGUCCCGCAACGAGCGCAACCCUUGUCGUUAAUUGCCAUCAUUUAGUUGGGCACUUUAACGAGACUGCCGGUGACAAACCGGAGGAAGGUGGGGAUGACGUCAAGUCCUCAUGGCCCUUAUGGGUAGGGCUUCACACGUCAUACAAUGGUCGGUACAAAGGGUUGCCAACCCGCGAGGGGGAGCCAAUCCCAGAAAGCCGAUCGUAGUCCGGAUUGCAGGCUGCAACUCGCCUGCAUGAAGUCGGAAUCGCUAGUAAUCGUGGAUCAGCAUGUCACGGUGAAUACGUUCCCGGGUCUUGUACACACCGCCCGUCACACCAUGGGAGCGGGUUCCGCCAGAAGUAGGUAGCCUAACCGCAAGGGGGGCGCUUACCACGGCGGGGUUCGUGACUGGGGUGAAGUCGUAACAAGGUA
rnacentral:rRNA from 1 species